GAUGAACGCUGGCGGCGUGCCUAAUACAUGCAAGUCGAGCGAACAGACGAGGAGCUUGCUCCUCUGACGUUAGCGGCGGACGGGUGAGUAACACGUGGAUAACCUACCUAUAAGACUGGGAUAACUUCGGGAAACCGGAGCUAAUACCGGAUAAUAUAUUGAACCGCAUGGUUCAAUAGUGAAAGACGGUUUUGCUGUCACUUAUAGAUGGAUCCGCGCCGCAUUAGCUAGUUGGUAAGGUAACGGCUUACCAAGGCAACGAUGCGUAGCCGACCUGAGAGGGUGAUCGGCCACACUGGAACUGAGACACGGUCCAGACUCCUACGGGAGGGAGCAGUAGGGAAUCUUCCGCAAUGGGCGAAAGCCUGGCGGAGCAACGCCGCGUGAGUGAUGAAGGUCUUCGGAUCGUAAAACUCUGUUAUUAGGGAAGACCAAAUGUGUAAGUAACUAUGCACGUCUUGACGGUACCUAAUCAGAAAGCCACGGCUAACUACGUG
rnacentral:rRNA from 1 species